GCGGAGGAAAAGAAACCAACAGGGAUUACCUCAGUAACGGCGAGUGAAGCGGUAACAGCUCAAAUUUGAAAUCUGGUCCUUUCAGGGCCCGAGUUGUAAUUUGUAGAAGAUGCUUUGGGUGUGGCCCCGGUCUAAGUUCCUUGGAACAGGACGUCAUAGAGGGUGAGAAUCCCGUAUGUGACUGGGUGCUUUCGCCCGUGUAAAGCUCUUUCGACGAGUCGAGUUGUUUGGGAAUGCAGCUCAAAAUGGGUGGUAAAUUUCAUCUAAAGCUAAAUAUUGGCCAGAGACCGAUAGCGCACAAGUAGAGUGAUCGAAAGAUGAAAAGCACUUUGGAAAGAGAGUUAAACAGUACGUGAAAUUGUUGAAAGGGAAGCGCUUGCAACCAGACUCGCAUGCCGUCGAUCAUCCUGGGUUCUCCCUGGUGCACUCGGCGGCGUUCGGGCCAGCAUCGGUUUUGGUGGUGGGAUAAAGGCCUUGGGAAUGUGGCUCCUCUCGGGGAGUGUUAUAGCCCUCGGUGCAAUGCCGCCUACCGGGACCGAGGACCGCGCUUCGGCUAGGAUGCUGGCGUAAUGGUUGUAAGCGACCCGUCUUGAA
rnacentral:rRNA from 1 species